UGCAGCAUAGCUCAGUCAGUAGAGCAUGAGACUCUUAAUCUCAGGGUUGCAGGUUCAAACUACACUUUGGGCAA